UACAGAGGUCCCGAGCGUUGUUCGGAUUCACUGGGCGUAAAGGGUGCGUAGGUGGCUUGGUAAGUUUGAUGUGAAAUCUCCGGGCUUAACCCGGAAAUGGCAUUGAAUACUAUUGAGCUGGAGGUUUGGAGGGGGGACUGGAAUUCUCGGUGUAGCAGUGAAAUGCGUAGAUAUCGAGAGGAACACCAGUGGCGAAGGCGAGUCCCUGGACAACACCUGACACUGAGGCACGAAAGCUAGGGGAGCAAACAGG
rnacentral:rRNA from 1 species